rnacentral:misc_RNA from 1 species
AAGACUAUAGACCUGCGGAGUACCUGCGGAGGGAUCAUUAUCGUAUUGUAACAAUUGGGGGGGCCACCGUGGGCUGUCGCUGACCCUUUGAAAGGGGGGUCGUGCACGCCCCCAUAGUGUCAUCCUCAUACAAUCCAACUCACCUCUGUGCAUCACCGCGUGGGUUCCUUUCUGGGUCGAGUCAGACUGGCACAGAAAAAAGGGGCUUGCGUUUUCCAUACAAAUACCCUUAUAAAUCCA